CUUGGACAUUUCUACCUAUGCGAACAACAUAAAUAAGUGUGAACAAUGUAAAAAUAAUAACAAAGCUUUUUUUUUAAACAGUACAAUUGGUCUGGUUAAAAGUCAAUUACUUAAAUAUUACUUGGGGCAUCACAAGAGAAGACAAAUCAAUAUGUGCAGAAAUCAGCUAAUAUUAACACAAACUAAGAUAUUAACACAAACUUUAACAAUUAUAGCUCAAUUUACUAAACUGCGGUUGUGAUAACAUCUUGACAUACAAUUGUUAUUACUAAGUAUAUGACCUAGAUAAUAAGACCCAAGAGCAUUUAUAAACUCUUACAUUCUAUUUUCAAAAUAAUUUAUUAAAUACUGUUCAGUUUGGUCCAUAAACACCAUUAUGACUUCGCAGCUUCUUUUUUCCCUUUAAAGAAUAGAUAAGUGACUUUUCUAUACCCUCCACAGUUGUCUCCAGUUUUCUCUGUCUAUUUUAAUUGUAUUUAAUUAUUACAGUUGCAAGAAAAAGUAUGUGAACCCUUUGGAAUGAUAUGGAUUUCUGCACAAAUUGGUCAUAAAAUGUGAUCUGAUCAUCAUUUAAGUCACAACAAUAGACAAUCACAGUCUGCUUAAACUAAUAACACACAAAGAAUGAAAUGUUGCCAUGUUUUUAUUGAACACACCAUGUAAACAUUCACAGUGCAGGUGGAAAAAGUAUG